GUUGUUUUUGUGCUUAAAGUACUAAUAUUUCUUAUUUCAGAAUAAAAUUUUACAUCAAGGAGACCAACAUGAGGACCAGAAGUCUGUACCGACCAAGGAUAAUGGAUCAAAACAAGUUUUUUGUAGCAUGUUGGACCGCAGCUAAACAUUCUCCUGGCUUUGAUGUCCACGUUUAGUGGGUAUCAAUAACACUAUUAUGAUUCAUGCCAAAGCUUCAACACGAUGACGUCACCUGGAAGAAAAAAGGUGGAUAAGGAAAUGAAGGGGAUAUAGCGUCCCGACUAGCUUUCAGCAGCGAAAGGAUUUAAGGAUGCGGAAGGAAUUGCAGCAACCAUAAUUUUUUUUUAGUUUUAAUAUUAUAGUAGUUUUGUUUAGAAUAGUUUUUAAGUUUAUUUAUUUUAAAUAUUAUGAUAUUUUUAAGAUGAAAUUUGCUAGGUUCCAAUUCGCGUUAUCUUAUAAGUAGGAUCGGUUUGUUGAGUAGUGUUUUUUUUUUGUUUUUAAAUUUAUUUAUUUUUUUUGUUCGCGUUUCGUUUAAUUUAAAUUAAUUCUUUUCUAUUAGAGUUGUCUUGCUCGACCGGUAGUACGCAUAUUUUAGUUAUCGCGCGUUUUAAUAUUAAAUUUUUAGUUCGAAUCGUACCAAACCAUCCGCACCAGGGUGCGUCUCGAUAAUUCGUUCCAUGAUCCAUCUGCUCGGUGUUAGGUUCUCCUCCUUUAGUAAUACAAGAUCACCCACCUUGACAUUUUCUUGUUUUGUUGCCCAUUUAGGUCGUGGUUGUAGUCGAGAAAGGUACUCCUUGUUCCAACGACGCCAAAAACUUUGCACUAAGUUUUUUAUCUGACUCCAACAAUCUAAUCUGCUGAUAUUAGUAUCCAGUACCGAUGGUUCUGGUGGUGAUAAUAAUAUGUCACCAAUCAGGAAAUGUGUUGGUG